ACGGGGGCUGGGCCAGCCUUGUUACCUCUUUGCCGGCCAGAAGGGAAAGAGACCCUCCCAGGCUUUCUCGUCUUUAACAUGUGUCUUCACAGAGUCAUGUACAGUUUUCUUAGUGGUUUAACAGAUUGUCAGUUCUCACAGCUAAUUACUGAUUUUUUUUUGCCAGAGACAGAGGAAACUGCUAGCAGCUUCUUUUAGAACAUCCCUUCCAUGAUGCAAAACCACCACAACAGCACAGAGCACAGAGCUCCUUUGUCCAUAUGUACUGCUCAUGAUCCCAAGGCCUCAAAACCCCACCUUGGGAGAUCUUUGGGCCCUCUCCAAGGUGUUUUCAAAUGGAAACAUUCAGCUCAUGGUCUAAGAAAACCACCAGAGGUCAGGGCCAACUUGACCUGUCUGUCCUGGCUACUUUUGUCAGGGAGCAAUCCUUGAAUAUACCGAAUUUGGGAGGACAAAUUCUAGUUUUGGCCAUGGCAUUUCGACAUGAAAGCCAUUUUUUUUCCAUAAGAAGGAAGGAACAGAGCCCCAGUGUUUCCCAGGUGGAGAGGUGACGACCAGAGGCCAAGGCCAGCCAGAGCUGGCAAGUUUUGUUCUGAGAGAUUCCCUUGCAUACAGGAAAUAUUUUAGGGAGAGUACCAAUUUUGGCAAUGGACAACAGAAAAGACCGAGGGUUCUUUUCAAUAGCAAGGAAAGUACAGAGCAUCAGUGCUCCAGGAGCUGAUGAGAGGCAGCCUUUGACAUCCCAAGAUCAGCCAGACCUGUCAGGUGGCCCCUGGGAGGCCAAGCCAGCCAGACCUGUUCCAUGUUCCCUCAAUUCCAUGGGGCCCCACAAUUCCCAUUGGUCCCUUGCUUCCAUGAGAACCUGAGGUGCCAUAAUGCCCCCUUGGUGACAGGAGGCCCUGAAGGGUCAGAAUGGUCUCCAUGGGUCCAUCAGGCCCCACAGAGUCAUAAAGGUCUCUGGGUUCCAUGAAGCCUCGCUGUGUUACCAUGGCCCCUUGGUUCCAUGGGCUCCAGUGGUGCCAAAAUGAUCCCCUUGGUUUCAUGAGGUCUCCACAGUGUCACAGUGAUCUUGGGAAGGAAAGAACCAAGCCCCAGUGUCGCAGGGGCAGCCACCAGAGGCCAAGAGUCAUAAGCUGACAAGGAAACAACUUUGCGAAAACUUUGCAAAACUCUAAUCCUUGAUCUGAAAGAGAAGAGAGACAACCUGGGACUUGAGACGUCAGAAGAUGGGAAAGAAGCCUAGGUGGGUGUGGGAACUCAGUACAUCACUCCGGAUGUCCAGAGCUACCAAGACAACCCUUGGGGAGCUCGGAGGUCCUGGAAUGUUGCCAAAAGUAUCUGGUGGCUUGACUUUGAUCCUUCUAAAGAAAUGACCCCAGAAUGUGAGGAAAUGAGAGAAUUUCAAGUUUGAAUGAUGAGGGGAUGAUAUUCACUAGAUAAAACUUAAAUUAUAAUGCACUGUACAGGGGGGUUUUGUGUGUUGUACAAGGGUGUUUGGAAUUCUGCACAUGGGGGACGGGAGUCCCAAGAUGGAGGGAUUUGGGUGUGCCCUGUCCUUCUUCUUUCUUCUCCUUGGCAUCCAUAUUCAGGAUGAUGUUGGCAUGUGUGGAUUGGUUCAUAGUGAAGGUGCACUUGCCAACAAGGGCGAAAAGUAUUGGAAAUUGAAGGUACAUAUCUAAUAUGUAAUUUUCACUAUAAAAGAGAUAACCGCCCCGUGGGCGGGAGAGAGUGCCCUUGGCUGUCUUGCUGAGCAGACCUCGGCUGGACAGACAGAAAACUUUGUAGAUAAGGAACAAUAAACUCAACUGAAGACCAAAAGCAAGAGUCCAGACUCCUUCUUCGAAAGUGCGGCCUGCCCAGAACCACCUUUUCCUGUGCUGGGGCAGAGAAAAUAACAGCCAACCCCGACAAGUGGGAAGAGAUGAUGGAGUGGCCUUUGGCUGGACUUUUUCUUGUAUAGCCAUAGACUGAACCAAUUUUCCUGUAACAGAGAGACUGCAUUUAGGAGGAUGCAAUGGCUUGAGCCAAGAGAGUGACCUGCUGCAGUGACGUGAUGUGCAGGAGUGAAGUGAACAGAGAAAGAUGAGGAGGGUGUGGUGGUGCCCUCUGUCUUCAAAGAAGAAGAAGAAGAUCUCUGUUCUCAAGACCCUUGGCCCCAGGGGAGAUGAAAAUGGGGGGGACUGUUGUCCCAAAAUGAGAAAAACUGUCAUUCUCUGGUACUUGGCAAAGCAUCCUUAAAAGGAGCCCUAGAAGCAGUCUUGGUCCAUGGACAGUGGUGAGAGCAUGGAAGGAAGAGGUCACAAUGGCAGAUUUUCUCUGGGUGGUGCCAUGUGUGAGAUGGAAGUAUGAGAGGUUUCAACUGUGUUUCCUGGGGAAGACUAUGGUACAAGAGAGACUCCUCUCUCCCUUGAUGAACUGAGAAUUGUUAUCUGAGAGGUGGUAACUUGACUGAGAAUCCAAGGUUUUGUCUCACUGUGCUUUGGUGGAAAUUGGGUGGGGAGAGGAGGAAUGUUUUGGAAGGUUUUAAUUUUGAAUUUUGUGUUUCUUUUAUUAUAGUUAUAGGUUAAUAAAGUUUUUUUUCCCUUUAUUUCUAAGCUUGAGCCUGCUCUGCUCUGUUUCUGCUCACAUCUCACAGUAACCAUUUGAGAAAAAUAUGUUUUCAUGGGAGCAUUGGCACUGCUCCAGCACCAACCCAUGACACAGAGGAAGGCCAGAAGGGCAGGGAAGACACCAGGAAUUGGUGACAUUUUCUCCUGUCACAGCCAUGACUCAGGGGAUAGGAUUAAACCUGGAAAGGCUGAGGUGCAUUACUGACCUCCUGCUGCCUAAGGAAAGAAAGAGAAAUGAAGAUAAUUUGUCCUUUUUUUGGGUUGUCCAGUUCAAAAAAGACACUGAGUCAACCAAGAAGGUUGGGAAAGCUGGAUAUACAAGGAUUGACAUGGGGAAGCUGGGAGUAGAAGAUGUGCCCAUACUCAUGGUGAAGGAAAAUCCUGUUAUUGGAUGAAAUUCCCUAAGGCAAGGAUCCCUUGAGAGAAGAUGGAUCCCAACUCUUGGAGAUACUAAAAUUUUGACUGGAAAUUGGGUGACCUGAACUCCUUAGCCCUAUUUGGAACAGGUUUUUGGA